UACGUAGGCAGCAAACGUUGUUCGGAAUUACUGGGCGUAAAGAGUGUGUAGGCGGUUCUGUAAGUUUGGUGUGAAAUCUCCCGGCUUAACUGGGAGGGUGCGCCGAAAACUGCAAGGCUUGAGUGCUGGAGAGGAUAGCGGAAUUCCUGGUGUAGCGGUGAAAUGCGUAGAUAUCAGGAGGAACACCGAUGGCGAAGGCAGUGGUCUGGGCCGAUACUGACGCUGAGGAGCGAAAGCGUGGGGAGCGAACAGG
rnacentral:rRNA from 1 species